rnacentral:rRNA from 1 species
UACGUAGGCAGCAAGCGUUGUUCGGAAUUACUGGGCGUAAAGAGUGUGUAGGCGGUGCUCUAAGUUCGGUGUGAAAUCUCCCGGCUCAACUGGGAGGGUGCGCCGGAAACUGGAGUGCUGGAGCGCGGGAGAGGGAAAGCGGAAUUCCUGGUGUAGCGGUGAAAUGCGUAGAUAUCAGGAGGAACACCGGCGGUGUAGACGGCUUUCUGGAC